rnacentral:rRNA from 1 species
UCGGGAAUAUUAGUAAUGGGCGAAAGCCUGAACUAGCAACGCCGCGUGUGCGAAGAAGGCCUUCGGGUUGUAAAGCACUUUUUGAGAGGAUGAGGAAGGACGGUACUCUCAGAAUAAGUCUCGGCUAACUACGUGCCAGCAGCCGCGGUAACACGUAGGAGGCGAACGUUAUCCGGAUUUACUGGGCGUAAAGCGCGUGUAGGUGGUUUGGUAAGUAGGGCGUGAAAGCUCCUGGCUCAACUGGGAGAGGCCGUUCUAAACUGCCGAACUAGAGGAUGGUAGAGGGAGGUGGAAUUCCGGGUGCAGCGGUGGAAUGCGCAGAUAUCCGGAGGAACACCAGUGGCGAAAGCGGCCUCCUGGACCACUCCUGACACUCAGACGCGAAAGCUAGGGUAGCAAACGG